ensembl:lncRNA
AUGCUCCAAACGAUUAACAGCGUUUCUGGGUGCGCAGACACAGGCAGGCCUGCAGCAGGUGAGACGCAGACUUCUGUAAAGGAAGCGCAACCAUCGCCCCAUUCACUGAGCACGGACAGCACGCCCCACUUGGAGUCAUCACCCCAUUCGCUGAGCGCCAAUGACAUGCCCCCCUCAGAGUCACUGCCCCAUUUCUUGUUCGGUAAAUGCUCACGAAAGGCUCUGCUGGCUCAUCUCAUUGGCAAGGAAACCAAAGCUCAAGAGGCCGGCCCAGGCCCUGCUGCUUGUGCCUGCUUCUCAUGGGAGAAGCAGGUUGUGGCCCAGGGCCUCUGGGACUCUGCGCCUGUGCUUGGCCCCUGCCCUUCACUGCUCCUCCCAGAGACCUGCCUGGGCCAGAGCAGGAGAGCAUCCUGCAGGGACUGUGAAGCAAGAGGAGGAUCUCUAAUCAAAGGACGAUGUCCCUGGGCCUCCUCAGGGACUUCACCUGAAAAAGCAGCUCUUUGGUGUCGAUAUGUGGCCUGCUUCAGCAGGACGAUCACAGAGAUUGUCCACGAAGAUGUUCAGGAUCUGGCAGAAUUUUGGAGAAAACAGUGUCAGUCACCAUGGCAACAAGAUCCUGGCCCAGUGCCAGGCCCUUGGAAUCCCAUGUGCUCUGCAAGAACAGCUCCCGCUACCUUCACCAGAAGCUCUGUGCAGAGGCAAGGACUCAUCAAAAGAAAGAGGGGAGUGGGGGCGUUGGCUUAUCCUUAGGAGGCCAGAAGUGAGAUUCAUCAGAGGCUGCAGAAGUAAUGACAGCCCUGAGACAGGCAGAGCUCACUUUAGUGUCUGUUUGGACUGGGGAUUUGUUAAUGACAUUACUCAAACUGCAGCGUUAGGAGACACCAUCUAGCAGAGAUCUGAGUCAUGAACUAACACAGGAAAAGGCUGCUGUGAACACUGACAAGACGUGUGGUAGAAAAUUAUGAUGCUGACAGUGAUGAUGACAGCUACCAUUUACUGAGGCUCCUGGUUUAAAAAUAUUUUUUUAAGAGAUAAGGUCUUAUUAUGUUGCCCAGGCUGACUGCAGUGACUAUUCACAGGUGUAAUCAUAUCACACUGCAGCCUCAAACUCUUGGACUCAAGAGAUCUUCCUGUCUCAGCCUCCUGAGCUCUGGGACAACAGGUACCCACCACCAUGCCUGCUUUAAUAUCCCUUUAAUAGCCUUGGUGUUUUUUUUUUUUUACACUGGCUUUAACUCCCAACCUUGAUUCUGUUUUUGACAGUCCUAUGAAAUAUACGGUACUAAGCUCAUGAAAAACCAGCCUCAGGGAGGUAAAAUAACCCGCCCAGGAUGACAAAGCCAGUGAGUAGCUAAGUAAGAACAUGACCUCAGGUCCACCUGAUCCCAAAGCCCAUGCUCCCAUGGGAAGCGAGAGCUGACUGAGAAAGAAGCAGGCCCUUUCUCCCCUUGGCAUUGCUGCUUGACUUCACCCACCGCUCUUAUGCCCUAUGACUUCCGUCCCCAACAAAGACUGGAGAAACCUUCGCCAUAAGUCAUCUGCUGCACAGCUGGGCUCUCGGACUAAGGCAGCUACACUGUCACUUUCAAAGUUCCACUCAGAACUUUUCUUAUGCUAAGCAAAGAACACGUGUGCACACGUACACACACAUGCAGAUAGACACACAUGCAGAUAUACACACACAGAAAUCUGUUUAACUUUGUGUAACCUGCAUUUCCCACAUCUAAUUGACCAAAGGGCCCAUUUUUCUAUGGCAUCUAUCAGUGUCCUGUGGACCCGGCAUUCUCUAGGACACAUGCUGGAACGCACUGCCCUACUUGCCGCCCUAAUCGGGAGCUGAUCUAGGUAAUGAUCUCUGCCUCCCUCUAGAAAUUCACAGAAGCAGCAUCUCUAACAAAUCUCCCACCUUCUGAUGACCUUAAACCAAUAAUCCACUCUACGUGUAGCCAGAGGCUAUAGCUCAACACUGCCAAAACAUGGGCCUGCUAUGAGUGUGAGGGCCACUGCAUCUUUGGCCUGAGGCUGUUCUCAAAAAAAGCAAAACUCGCCGGGCGCGGUGGCUCACACCUGUAAUCCCAGCACUUUGGGAGGCCGAGGCGGGUGGGUCAAGAGAUCAAGACCAUCCUGGUCAACGUGGUGAAACCCCGUCUCUACUAAAAAUACAAAAAAUUAGCUGGGCAUGGUGGCGCAUGCCUGUAAUCCCAGCUACUCAGGAGGCUGAGGCAGGAGAAUUGCCUGAACCCAGGAGGCGGAGGUUGCAGUGAGCUGAGAUCGCGCCAUUGCACUCCAGACUGGGUAACAAGAGCGAAACUCCGUCUCAAAAAAAAAGCAAAACUCUUCUCUGAAGUCUCAAAGUUGGAAAGAGGGGUGAAGUAACUUGCCUGAAGCACACAGCUACACAGAGAGA